AUGAACCUGGACACCGAUUUCACAUCCGCAUUGCUCCACGAUUUGAAGCUCGAAGAUCCUUUGCUUCCUCCAACCACAUGGGAAUCCAUCCCUUCCGAAAGCGGCCAUUUCCAUCUUCCGUCAUCCAAUCCUCUCUCCCUCUACCAUGCCUCCUCCGAAUUACAGGAGGCAAGUUUGGUGCGAUUGGCGAUGAAUGCAUUGCAAGGACUUGAAUCGUCGCUGAUUAGUGUCCAGAAGCUUUCGGCUGCGUUUCGGUCCGACGCGGCGGAUAGGACAUUUCAUCAGGUCCCGAGCCUGUGGAGUAGGUCUUCGAGCACUCAGGCUCUGGGGAAUAUUCUCCACUCCAUAGGCUGCUCAGGUUUGCUGGUCUUUCUUCUUGGAAAAUUUGUGGAUCACUUUACCAAUUUAGAUGUCGAAAGUGGAAGUAAAGAAAGAGAGUCUGCUCCGUAUAGUCUUGUUAAUCAGGCUUUUGUGGUUGCGGUGGGGAAGGUUGUGGAGGGUUACAUGUGUGCUUUGGAUACAUUGUAUGCUUCUGUGGGGUUGAGGCGGGGCUCGCCACCUUCUGCGGUGGGGUGUCUCAACAGUGUGGUCCAUUCGGAAGUUAGUUUGUUGGAGGUGUAUUUGCACACUAAGGAAUUGAGGACUCAGAUUGAAUCCCUUGCAAACAUAUGCAACUUGUAUCGAUUUUCUGAUUGCUUCGCAGCAUCUUGUUUUGAUGAGUUGCUUGCGGAAGCCAAAUCUGAGUUUUGUAAUUUCUACAGAGGGGGUGACCUACUCACAUAUCUGUAUACUCAAUUGCAGGUUGCUGAUCCUGCUCAUCGUCCUGUACUAAAAUUUCUUUUUCUUCGUGCAUGUGAACCAUACUUCGGAUUUAUAAGAUCAUGGAUAUUCAAAGCUGAGAUUAGCGAUCCUUAUGAGGAAUUUUUGGUUGAAUAUGUUCAGUCUCAUGAUCCAUAUGUUGAAGCCAGUAUCUCUACUGACUUCCCAUUGGCAACUAUCAGGGAACGAGAUGGAGUUCCUGUUCCUUGUUUUCUGAAGGACAUCUUGAUUCCACUUUUGAGAGCAGGUCAGCAGCUGCAAGUUCUAGCAAAAUUGCUUCAAUUGUGUACUUUUGUUGCCCCUACGAACCAUACUUAUGAGACUUUUCUUCCUUGCUGGAGUGGGUUUUCAAGCAAUUGUCCAUCGUAUGCAUCUCCAUUGACAUUCAGCAAAGGAAAUAUAGAGGCCAUGGUACUUUCACGGGAAUGUUAUUACAAAAAGAUGCAAGACAGACUCCAGAUUCUUUUGACGGAAUUAGAGUUCAAAUUUCAACAGGUAGUUCCACAAGACGCGCUUGUUCUCUUGGAUCACAGUGGAAGGAGUUCAGCCAUCCCAGUUUUAGUCCCAUCGGAUAAAAGUUAUAUUGAAAAGGAGUCACAAGAGGUGGCUGAUGAUUUGGAUUCGGACGAGUUAAGUACAAGAGACUACACUGCAGAUGAAUACGAGUCAUCUGAAUGUUCAAGCUCAACUAUGUCUGAAGAGCAAAACGUGCUCAAGCGGACACCUGAGUUUCCUAGUCACAUCAUAGUGGAAGAACAAAAGUAUUUCUCUGCUUUAAGCUUCUCAAUAGGUAUUCCGGUUGAUACUGUGCAAAAGCCCCAUGGAUGUGCAGAUUCAUGUCUUAUAGACAAGAUUAGUAGUUGUGAAAGAGAAGAUGCCUUUGGGCAUUCUCAUCAUAAAGGCAUACUUAUGAGUCAGAUGUUAGACGUUCAAUUUUCAGAUUGUCUCUCUGAUAAGGAUUGGCCUGAUUAUUUUGAGAAACAGUCUGUCAUUGAUAUAGAGUACAAAGAAGGUCUGAAGUCAAGUCCAACAGACUUUGCCUCAAAGGUGAAUGAAAGAAUAACGGGAGCCUUAAAGGAAGGUUCAUCAUAUUUUAGAAAAAGAAUCAUGGAUAAUAAUGCAUCAAUAGAAGAAGCCUUUGGCAAGAUUGAAUCUCAAAAGGCCAGUAAUACUUCUGAUACAUUUGCAUUGCGACAGUGGAAGGUUAAUUACCAUAACAAUUUUCUCAGCAUGAACCCAAUGUUGACAAAAAAUAAUUUCCUUCACCUAACUUCCAGGCCUGAAGAGAGAUGCAAGACAGACCAUGGGGAUUCUUUGGCUUACUUUGAUUUCUCUCACAUAAAAGAUCCUUGUAAGGUGUUUCCGAUGAAGGUUCCUGUAGGGCUUAUGGACUAUAGGGCCUCUAAUACCAAUGGCAGGAGUGAUCACCAUGUAAAAGAAUGUUCUUCCGGAGAUGAUGUUCUGAUUGGAAGAACAAUAGUAUCUGACUUUCUUCCAUCUUCAGAUUUGAGGGGCCACAGUGAAGGAGAUGCUACUUCAACAAAUGUUUCUGGUGGUAGUUGUUGGGAGAGUUUGCUUGGUAGAUUUGGUGACACUGUCGUAAAUAGACUUGAAGAUCACAGAGAAAGCUUGGCGGCCAGUUUUGACAUGCCACUUGAUUUUAUUAUUGACAAAUGCCUUCUGCAGGAAAUCAUGCUCCAAUAUAAGUAUGUCAGCAAGUUAACUAUUAACUUGCUUGAAGAAGGAUUUGAUUUGCAAGAACAUUUGCUGGCUCUGCGUCGGUACCACUUCAUGGAAUUAGCAGACUGGGCAGAUUUGUUUAUUAUGUCUCUUUGGCAUCAUAAAUGGAGUAUUACACAGGCAGAUCAUAGACUUUCUGAAAUUCAAAGUUUUCUUGAGUCAUCGGUUCAGAGGUCAUCAUGUGAACGUGAUCGUAAUAAGGACAGAUUAUUUAUGUACUUGAAAGGACAUGAUGCAGUGCCGCUUUCAGCAUCUGCUAUAGGAGUCCAUUCCUUUAACUUCCUUGGUUUGGGAUAUCGAGUAGACUGGCCCAUCAGCAUUGUUUUGACUCCUGGUGCAUUGAAAAAAUAUGCCGAGAUAUUCAGUUUCUUGAUACAAGUGAAACUUGCUCUGUUUUCGUUGACUGAUGUAUGGCGCCAAUUGAAGGUGUGGAUUAUUUUUUUUGAACAUAAGGAAUCCUUCUAAUAGAGAAAAUUACUAACUGAAAAUUGUAUUCAGUGAUCAUCUCUCUGAUCUAUCUCCAGGCAUCAGGUCAAUCACUUUGUUUCUACAUUGCAGCAGUAUGUGGAGUCGCAGCUUUCACAUGUAUCAUGGUGCAGGUUUCUAUACUCACUUAAGCAUAAGGUCAAAGAUAUGAUGGAUCUUCAGUCUGUGCACAUGGCAUAUCUCUCAGAUUCACUUCACAUAUGUUUCCUCUCUGAUGAAACAAAACCUAUAGCUUGCAUCAUUGAGAGCAUUCUGCAGUGUGCUCUAGACUUCAGGUCUUGUCUUACUGGGGGAGUAUGGAAUGCUGGAACAGGUCAAGGGAAUUUAGUUGCAACACUCUCUGGAAUCAAUAUAUCCCAGGUUAUUGCCAUAAAGCGAACCUUUGACAAAAAUAUGAAAGAAUUGCACUCCUGUUACCUCAAAUCACCUAAACAUGGUGAGUUUGGACUCUCUCACUUCUGGGAAUACCUGAAUUACAACAGGUAUUACUCAGAUGCUGCUUCCGUGGUCCACAGCUCAGUAACAUGAGCCAGUACUGAUAAAUCGGGAUCUGUAUAUGCUUGAAGCAUCCCAUUGGAUUAUAAUGAUUCAAGGGGAUGUGUGAAAUUUUGGGUUGUAGCAUAGCGUUCUCCGAUUCUGUUGGUCUUGUUGACAAGGUAGGAGACUCAUGUUCUUGUGUGCCAGUUUUGCAUAGCAAUGAGUGUAAAUAUAUAUGUAUAACAAAGAAAACAUUUUCUGGUGCCAACUUUCCCUGUGAUGUGAAACUUCAAUAGCAUGUCUGCACGAGUGUGAGUAUAUACUAAUGCAACUGGACUCUGUACCUUUCAUCACAAGUUGAGAAAUUUAUGAGACACAGUCGAUCCUAUCCUCACCUUGUUACAACCUUCAUCGUUACUAGUAACGCCUAGUCUCCUGUAACCUUUUAG